rfam:Brassica napus, WGS project CCCW01000000 data, contig: 10139
UAAAUGUUUCUUGCUUAAAUGAGUAUUCCAUGGAAGGGAUUCACUCACAUCAAUAAUAGACCUAAUAUGAGUGGAUUUCUCUUCAUGAGGUGCUCAUUUGAGCAAGCAAUGUUUG